CCUCCUCUGGAAUGAUCACCUCCUCAACCAAGCCCACCAAGUCUGAAGGCCAGCUACAGGGCUGAUCCAGCUGAAAACGAGACUCACAAUUUGAUCAUACGGGUGCACAGUGACAACGUCAAUUGAAUUUGCAGCUCUGACAGAUGUGUUUUAUAAAGGCUGGGGCACUGAUCAGAGAGGAGCAGGAUGCCAGGGCAUGUUAUUGAACUUGGAUGAGUCUGAAAAACAGCUGCUUCUUGCUGUCUGGAGUGAUGAGUCUCUCCUUUCCUGAGAAGCCUGUGAGGAGUUCGCAGGAGCGAGUUCUCCAGGAGAACCUUGAGUCUCCUCUGCCCCAGCUGCCAUGAGAAGCCUGUUCCUGUGCCCCAGGAUACUUGUCUCAGAGGAGAUUAUUACGGUACCAUGGGGAUUUUUUCUGUGACCCAUUGAUCGAUGAAGAAAAGACACAACCCCA